CAAGAGGUAGUUUAGAAAGUCCAGAAUUUUGGCUUUGGGUGCCAAUGGCGGAGGUGAAAAUCCUCCCCCCUUGA
rnacentral:tRNA from 1 species